rnacentral:rRNA from 1 species
AUUGAACGCUGGCGGCAGGCUUAACACAUGCAAGUCGAGCGGGGUGAUGGUGCUUGCACUAUCACUUAGCGGCGGACGGGUGAGUAAUGCUUAGGAAUCUGCCUAUUAGUGGGGGACAACAUCUCGAAAGGGAUGCUAAUACCGCAUACGUCCUACGGGAGAAAGCAGGGGAUCACUUGUGACCUUGCGCUAAUAGAUGAGCCUAAGUCGGAUUAGCUAGUCGGUGGGGUAAAGGCCUACCAAGGCGACGAUCUGUAGCGGGUCUGAGAGGAUGAUCCGCCACACUGGGACUGAGACACGGCCCAGACUCCUACGGGAGGCAGCAGUGGGGAAUAUUGGACAAUGGGGGGAACCCUGAUCCAGCCAUGCCGCGUGUGUGAAGAAGGCCUUAUGGUUGUAAGGCACUUUAAGCGAGGAGGAGGCUCUUUUGGUUAAUACCCAGAAUGAGUGGACGUUACUCGCAGAAUAAGCACCGGCUAACUCUGUGCCAGCCGCCGCCGUAA